GUUAGCUCAGUUGGUAGAGCAGUUGACUUUUAAUCAAUUGGUCGCAGGUUCGAAUCCUGCACGACCCACCA
rnacentral:tRNA from 45 species